rnacentral:rRNA from 1 species
CCUUUAUCAGGAGGAUAGCCUUUCGAAAGGAAGAUUAAUUCCCCAUAAUAUAAGAAACGGCAUCGUUUUUUAUUGAAAACUCCGGUGGAUAGAGAUGGGCACGCGCAAGAUUAGAUAGUUGGUAGGGUAACGGCCUACCAAGUCAGUGAUCUUUAGGGGGCCUGAGAGGGUGAUCCCCCACACUGGUACUGAGACACGGACCAGACUCCUACGGGAGGCAGCAGUGAGGAAUAUUGGACAAUGGGUGAGAGCCUGAUCCAGCCAUCCCGCGUGAAGGACGACGGCCCUAUGGGUUGUAAACUUCUUUUGUAUAGGGAUAAACCUUUCCACGUGUGGAAAGCUGAAGGUACUAUACGAAUAAGCACCGGCUAACUCCGUGCCAGCAGCCGCGGUAAUACGGAGGGUGCAAGCGUUAUCCGGAUUUAUUGGGUUUAAAGGGUCCGUAGGCGGAUCUGUAAGUCAGUGGUGAAAUCUCAUAGCUUAACUAUGAAACUGCCAUUGAUACUGCAGGUCUUGAGUAAAGUAGAAGUGGCUGGAAUAAGUAGUGUAGCGGUGAAAUGCAUAGAUAUUACUUAGAACACCAAUUGCGAAGGCAGGUCACUAUGUUUUAACUGACGCUGAUGGACGAAAGCGUGGGGAGCGAACAGGAUUAGAUACCCUGGUAGUCCACGCCGUAAACGAUGCUAACUCGUUUUUGGGUCUUCGGAUUCAGAGACUAAGCGAAAGUGAUAAGUUAGCCACCUGGGGAGUACGUUCGCAAGAAUGAAACUCAAGGAAUUGACGGGGG